UUUCCCCCGCUGAAACCCCUAAUUUUUUCCCCUCUUCUUCGCGGUCUAUGAGCAUUUCGCUUCUUCACCCUUUUCAAACUCAUUUCUUUCUCCUCUUCUUUCUUUUUUUCGGAUCUUCUUUCUCCCUCUCUCCAAAGUUCUUCGAUUCUUUCCGUCUCCUUUUCGCUCGCUCUCUGGUAAUUUCAUCUUUUAAAACAGGGCCGGUCUAGCCAAUCUCUACCAGGACGGUUUAAUGUUGACCUUCGAGGGUCAAAAGAUCCAAGGCUCUCAGAGCAUUGUCGCUAAACUCACCAGCCUUCCUUUCCAGCGGUGUUAGCACAGCAUCACCACUGUCGAUUGUCAGCCCUCCAGCGUUGGCGGCAUGCUGGUUUUCGUCAGUGGUACCCUCCAACUCGUCAGUGGUUUCGAUUCGUAGGAUGAGAACCGGUAUAGUGUAGGAAGAGGAGUGCACAAAAAUCUGAAACGUGCAGAGAAAGCUCGCAUUCUAGUUAGCAAAUUACCAUGUUGCUGAGAAGACUGCUCUUCUGCGGCCUAUAGAACUUAAACUUGUUCCUAUGGCCUUGGAAGGCAGUGCAUUUAGAAGCAAGUUUCUUGAUACGGAUGAACUUAUGAGCUACUGUAGCUGGUUUGCGACUUUCAGCAGCAUGAUCCCAAAAUGGCUGCGGAAAACCAAAAUUGUCAAGAAAAUUAGCCAAAUGUUGGUGAAUCACCUUGGACUAAAUUUGACCAAAGAUCUGCAAAAUGUGGUUGAUUUAAUGGAGCCAUAUGGUCAGAUAAGCAAUGGAAUAGAAUAUCUAAAUCCUCCCAUUGAUGUCAGUAACUAACUUGCUUGUCAUUUUAAAUAUGCAAGUCAAUUGCUAUUAAUAAUUUUUUGUUGGAUUCUUUUUGGACUGAAAAAUAAUUUCUGAGGAUAGUCUAAGAAUCUUAAAUUUUAUAGAAAGCCAAUAAAGUGCUUGGUGGACGAAAUGUGGUGAUUAAUUGAAUUGCAAGGUCAUACAUGCUGUUAAUUUUUUAA